rnacentral:RNase_P_RNA from 1 species
GUAAGUCUGAAAACGUAGGGAAAGACGCUAGGGAUUAAGCUCUCAACACCAUAGUGCGGUAAACCUUGCGCGCUGAAAUGCCAAAUAGGCCGGUGAUUGAGGGCUACCCGCCCGAUACCGGUGGGUUGGCAGAUUGAGGUGCCUUGCGAAAGGCAUCCCAGAUAAAUGAUGACCACCUCCUGACCAUAGGAGGCCACAGAAUCCGGCUUACAGGUUUGUAGCGUUU